GCGGAGCUUUUAUUUAAUUACGUAUCUAUAUCUGUAUACGUUUUUCUUUUUUCAAUGCGCGCCAACAUAAUCACCCUCCCGAGUAUAAUCAUUAGGGCUGGUCGUAAAUGAUAAAUUCAGUCGCGCACGCGUGCCGUUGUAAAAGUCGAGGGAAAAACAGGUGAUACAUAAAUGUCAAAAAUCUUGGUUCGUCUCUCUUUCGCUUUGCCCUUAUUACGAAUGCGGUGCUUCGAAAUAUUUCCACCUUGUGCGUGUGUGAAUGUGAUAUGCGCAUGUUAUGCUACUGCUGCUGCUGCUGCGAGGCUUCUGUCGAAUAAAAACCGAUCAUGAUAUAAUAACGAAAAGAAAGAAGAAGAAGAAGAAGAAGAGGGAAAAAAACCAGUUUGGACACAACGCACACCGUUGAAGAAGAAUGACGUAUCGGAGUCGAUGUCAUGUGCCGAGGCAAAGGUGACAUCAGUUAUAAAAACGUUGACAUAAGAGAGCGAGAGACGUGUUCCUCGUCGCCGACGUGCUCGUGGACAGUCGCAGCGACGACCGACUGCCUCUCACGCCGUUAAGAGGCAGCUCGGCGCAGAGCUUUACGGCAGAGAAUAAAAAGCAGCAGCAGCAGCAGCAACGGCGGCAGACAUCGAGAGCUGCGUUUAGUAUAGCAGAAGACGACGACGAGGCGAGAAGAAUUAAAAGAAGAAGGCAACUUAUUUAUAGCAACGAGGCAAAGCGAUUUUCGUUUUGCUCUCUCUCUCUCUCUCUUGCUCCCUCGUUCGCUCGUCGCUCGCCUGCUGCUACCUCCGUUACUGUAUGUUUGUGUAUGUGUAUGUCAGUCUAUAUAUACGAGAGAUAUUCUCUGCUGCGUUAACCGCCGCCGCAACCGUCGCUGCCGCCCCGCUACACAGUCAGAGAGAGUAGCCGCCGCCGCAGCCGUCAUACGCUCUCUGUCUCCCUCUAGCUCGUUCUCUCCCUCGCGCGUGUGUGUGUAUGUGUCUCUGUGUGUGCUUUUACCGCUGUGCUCUCGCUCUCUCUCUCUCUAGGCUCGCCAGAAUCGACGACGCAGUCUCGUUCACAUAUAGCACAGAGACGAGAGAAGAGGAGAGAGCCCCCGCGAAGAGAGCCAGCUCUGCUCUAGCUAGCUAGCUCUGUGUAUACGUGCAGCUGCCGUGUGUGUCUCAACGUCGCGACCGACCGACCGACCGACCGAGUGAGAGUGCGCGCGUGCGACUGUGCUUGCAAGCUCGUGCAGGAUUAGCAGACGACAAACGACAUCGGUGUGCUGCCGUGUGCUGUGUGCGCGCCCGAGGCCGUUGUGCGAGAGAGAGAGCGGAGAUAUUCCCGGCUGAAAUAAUAAAAAAAAAAAAAUUACACGUAUAGUGGUGCUUCGAUUACUAACUUGUGCUUCGAUUUUUUUUUUUCUGGUGACAGCAGAAUCUGGUGCAAAAAAAAAAGUAUUCGACGCCCGUCCCCCCCACAUCGUUCCCGUUUCUCAACAACGACUGCGUGACGACGACAGCAGCAGCAACAACAACAGCAACUGAAAAAAAGUGCGUCGUCAAGUUUUAUUGACAAGUGCCGUCGUCUCUCUCGGGGGUUGUAUUAUCAGAUACACGCAGUGGUGCGAGAGCAAUAUACUACGCAUGGUAUAAAAGCUCGAGACGACGAUAACGAAAAAAAAAAAAAAAAAAAUUAAGUAAAGUGCGAGACGACAAAAAAAAUCGACGAUGGAACCUCCGAUCGUGCCCGCGCAGAGGCUCGAUAGUGCGAGUCUCAUGUGACGACGACUGGAUCGUUUUCCAUCAUCAUCGACAGCAACAGCAGCAACAACAACAUUAUCAACAGCUCUAUUCGCGCCAGUAGUCGCAGCAGCAACAACCGUUCUACCUCGUUGCUGCAAGCUCGCUUACGGCUGCGGGCAGACGAAGCAGAAGAAGCAUCAUCAUCAUCGUCAUCAUCACCAUCACCAGCUGCAGCAGCACAAGAAAAGCAGCAGCAACAGCAGCAGCCAUCGCAAGCGUCGGAGGAGGCGCCGCAGGUGGAGGAGGCGGAAAAGCAUCGUCUCGUCUUUGUCAUUCGCAUCGAUCGAGCAUCAUCAUCGUCGUCCUCUCGAUCUAACGGGAAAAAAGUCCGUAGAAGCUGGAGCAGAAGCAGAAGAACGAAGAAGCAGCAGCAGCGGCGGUGGUGGUGGUAGCCUACCAGUGGUUGUGGAUCCGCUGCUGCAAGAGCUGCAGCGGUGGUCCGAGCUGCAAGAGGCCGCGACGAGGGCUGCGGCUGCAGUGAACGGGCUGCACGUCGACGUCGGCGGCCUAACGCGAUCACCGAUAAUAACGGGCGGCGACCGCCGCGGCCGGACGUGCACCGCAUCGCAGACAGCCGCUACUACUACUACAGCAGAACAGCAGCAGCAGCAGCGCGACGACGGAGGCGGCGCCAGUAAUAACAACAACAGCAGCAGCAGUAACAGUAACAGUAAAGCCGGCACGUCGUGCACCGCAAGCGGCAGCUUCUGCUGGCGUAAUAAUAAUUUGGAAAAUCAGCAGAAGCCGAGCUGCCGUCGAAGAGAAGCAGCAGCAGCAGCAGCAGCAGUCGAGGCAGCAGCAGAAGAAGAAGAAAAGGCGCCGGCGGUGGCAGCAGUGUCGUCACUACCACUACUACUACGACUUAGUCAGCAGCAGCAGCAGCAGCGACGAGAGUCGGCAGCCGCCGCGCUUGGGAGAGCCGACAAGCAGCAGCAGCCGCAGUCGCCGCUGUGCCCAUUAUACAGACGGCAGAGACAGUCGCAGCAGCAGCAGCAGCAGCAGCAACUCGUUGUUGUUGUUGUUCGUGGACACGAUCGACGACAACGACAACGACUACUACUACUGCAGCAGCAGCAGCGGCAGCCGUGGUCGUCCACGACAAUCGAAGCAACAGCAACAGCAGUAGCAGCGACGUGCCAACGACGCAGCCUGCAGCGCGCUAGACGUUGCUGUCGUCGUCGUCGUCUUCGUUCAUCCUCGUCGAAGGAGACACCACUACCGCUACUACUACCGCUACUACUGCUCGAGGCGAACGGCAGCAGCAGCAGCGACCUGCAUCCGUCGCGGGUGCAGCAGCCCGCUACGAUACUGCAGCAACGUCGUCGUCGACAUCAUGCUGCACGCGCUGCCUCGCGCAAAGGUGCUACUACUACAACUUCGUCGUGUCCACUGCUGCGGUCGUUUGAUGCCCAACGAGCCAACGACGCUGCCCCAAGGACAGUGAACAAUAACGAGUGCCACUCGUGACGCAUGAUUGCUCCUGCCUCCCAGUGCUGGUGGUGUUGUUCUCGUGGUUCUCGUUCUUCUUGUUGUUCUUGUUUCUUGUUUUUGUGCGAAUUGUAAUUGUUAUAACGACACAACGACGAGACUGGCGAGUGUGAGAGAGAGAGAAAAAUUCGACAGCAACAGCAACAACAAAAAUUAUAAAAUAAUAAUUGUGCAAAAGUGUGUGUUUAUUGUUUGUCAGUGAGUUAACGAGAGGCAACAAGAAAAUAUAAGCCUCUCUGGUGCCCGUGCGUGAAGAUAUAUUAAAAAUAUAUAUAAUAAUAAAAUAGUGCGACGAGAGAGUUCGAGGAGGAGAAGCCACGAGUUUUAAAAGAAGAAGAAGAAAAAAAGUUUAUAUAGUGCGUUGGCCUCGCGUCGAGAGGCACAAAUAAUCUAUAUAGAUUACACGUAUAUAUAAAAAAAAAAUAAUAAAAUAAAUAAAUAAACCAUGGCGACCAUCGACGGAAGACCGGCCCAGUACGGGCUCACCCUCAAGCAGCUCCGCGAGCUCAUGGAGAUCAGGGGCCGCGAGGGUGUCAACAAGGUCAACAGCUACGGCGGCGUGCAAGAGAUAUGCAAAAAGCUCUACACCUCGCCCAGCGAAGGUCUCAGUGGGUCUGCGACAGACAUGCAACACAGGAGAGACACCUUCGGUUCAAAUUCUAUUCCUCCAAAACCACCAAAGACCUUUCUGCAGUUAGUUUGGGAAGCGCUGCAAGAUGUAACGUUAAUUAUCCUAGAGAUCGCUGCCCUUGUAUCUCUUGGUCUCAGCUUCUAUCAUCCUGCAGAUGAAGAAGAGGAUUCUAUUGGUACUUUAGAAGAUGACGAAACAAAAUAUGGCUGGAUCGAAGGUCUGGCCAUUCUGAUCUCAGUUAUUGUUGUCGUCAUAGUUACUGCCUUCAAUGAUUAUUCAAAAGAAAGGCAAUUCCGUGGCCUGCAAAGUAGGAUAGAGGGAGAACACAAAUUCUCUGUCAUACGACAGGGUGAAGUGAAACAGAUCUCUGUCUCUGACAUCGUAGUUGGUGACAUAUGUCAAGUCAAAUACGGUGAUUUACUGCCAGCCGAUGGUAUUCUUAUUCAAAGCAAUGAUCUCAAAGUAGAUGAAUCUAGUUUAACUGGAGAAUCUGAUCAUGUUAAGAAAGGUGAAUCAUUUGAUCCCAUGGUACUUUCAGGAACUCAUGUCAUGGAGGGUUCUGGCAAGAUGUUGGUCACUGCUGUGGGUGUUAACUCACAGGCAGGUAUCAUUUUCACUCUUUUGGGUGCAGCUGUUGACCAACAAGAGCAAGAGAUCAAGAAAAUGAAAAAAGAGGCUAAAAAGCAGCGGAAGAAGAAGUCGCUAUCAGACGACGACGGCGGCGACAUCGGCAACAGUCACGCCCUGAGCAAGCAGCACUCGGUGGACGGCGGCGAGAACCACGCCGCGGCCAAGCAGAGCGACGACAGCGGCAAGAAGGAGAAGAGCGUGCUCCAGGCCAAGCUCACCAAGCUCGCGAUACAGAUCGGUUACGCCGGCUCGACAAUUGCCGUGCUCACCGUCUUCAUACUCGUCACCCAGUUCUGCGUGAAGACCUUCUACAUCGACCAGCUGACGUGGAAGCCGAGCUACGCCAGCGACCUGGUCAGGCAUCUCAUCAUCGGUGUGACGGUGCUGGUCGUGGCGGUGCCCGAGGGCCUGCCGCUGGCCGUCACACUCUCGCUAGCUUACUCCGUCAAGAAAAUGAUGAAGGACAACAAUCUUGUGCGCCAUCUGGACGCGUGCGAGACGAUGGGUAACGCCACUGCCAUCUGCUCGGACAAGACGGGCACCCUGACGACCAAUCGCAUGACCGUGGUGCAGUCGUAUCUCUGCGAGAAGCUCUGCAAGACAAUACCCAACUUCAGCGACAUACCCGCGCACGUGGGCCAGCUGCUCGUCCAGGCGAUAUCCAUCAAUUCGGCCUACACGUCGCGCAUCAUGCCCUCGCAGGACCCGACCGAGCUCGCGAUGCAGGUCGGCAACAAAACCGAAUGUGCCUUACUCGGCUUCGUCGUGGCUCUCGGCAAGAGCUACCAGACAGUGCGCGACGACCAGCCCGAGGAGACCUUCACGCGCGUCUACACCUUCAACAGCGAGCGCAAGAGCAUGUCCACCGUCGUGCCGAGGCCCGGCGGCGGCUAUCGGCUCUUCACCAAGGGCGCCUCUGAAAUCAUCAUGAAGAAAUGUGCCUUUAUAUACGGUCGCGACGGGAACUUGGAGAAAUUCACGCGUGACAUGCAGGACCGCCUCGUGCACAGCGUGAUCGAGCCGAUGGCCCGCGACGGCCUGCGCACAAUUUCCAUCGCCUAUCGCGACUUCGUGCCCGGCAAGGCCGAGAUCAAUCAGGUGCACAUCGACAGCGAUCCCAACUGGGAGGACGAGGCGAACAUCGUGGCGAAUCUCACCUGUCUGGGCAUCGUCGGCAUCGAGGACCCGGUCAGGCCCGAGGUGCCCGAGGCCAUCAGACAGUGCCAGAAGGCCGGUAUCACCGUGCGCAUGGUCACCGGUGACAACGUCAAUACUGCCAGGUCAAUCGCUUUGAAAUGCGGUAUUCUGAGGCCCACCGACGACUUCUUGGUCCUCGAGGGUCAGGAGUUCAACAAGAGGAUAAGGGACGCGAAGGGCGACGUGCAGCAGCACCUCCUCGACAAGGUCUGGCCGAAGCUGCGCGUGCUGGCGCGAUCCUCGCCGACGGACAAGUACAUCCUCGUCAAGGGCAUCAUCGACAGCAAGGCGUCGGCGAAUCGCGAGGUCGUCGCCGUGACGGGCGACGGCACGAACGACGGCCCGGCCCUGAAGAAGGCCGACGUCGGCUUCGCCAUGGGUAUCGCCGGUACCGACGUCGCCAAGGAGGCGUCGGACAUCAUUCUCACGGACGACAAUUUCUCGUCGAUCGUCAAGGCCGUCAUGUGGGGCAGGAACGUGUACGACAGCAUCGCCAAGUUCCUGCAGUUCCAGCUGACCGUGAACGUAGUCGCGGUCAUCGUCGCGUUCAUCGGCGCCUGUGCCGUGCAAGACUCGCCGCUCAAAGCUGUACAAAUGUUGUGGGUCAAUCUCAUUAUGGACACGUUAGCCUCGCUGGCCCUGGCCACGGAAAUGCCUACGCCGGAUCUGCUUCUCAGAAAGCCAUACGGCAGGACGAAACCCCUCAUCUCCAGGACGAUGAUGAAAAAUAUACUCGGUCAAGCGGUUUACCAGUUAACCGUUAUUUUUGCGCUUCUCUUCGUUGGAGAUAAAAUGCUGGACAUUCCUUCUGGCCGAGGAGUAGCAGCAGCCGGUGGCGGGCCCACGCAGCACUUCACGAUUAUCUUCAAUACUUUUGUGAUGAUGACGCUGUUCAACGAAUUCAAUGCCAGAAAGAUUCAUGGCCAGCGAAACGUCUUCCAAGGAAUAUUUACCAAUCCUAUCUUUUAUUCGAUUUGGAUUGGAACUGCUUUGUCGCAGGUUGUCAUUAUCCAAUAUGGUAAAAUGGCGUUUAGCACAAAAGCUUUAACCUUAGAGCAGUGGCUUUGGUGUCUAUUCUUUGGAUUCGGCACAUUGCUGUGGGGUCAAUUAGUAACGACGAUUCCUACUCGCAAGAUUCCCAAGAUCUUUUCAUGGGGUCGAGGCCAGCCAGAUGAUAUUGGCGCAAUCAAUUUGGGAGAUGAGAAAUACGAUCCGGACACGGAUAAAAAGCCUCGAGCUGGACAAAUUCUCUGGAUACGUGGUCUGACACGACUGCAGACUCAGCCAGUGGAACCCAUUCGAGAGACUGAGGUAUAAAGUGGUGGCAGUCUUACUUAAUUCGCCGCCAGACAAUCCUGUCGCAGUACAAACAAAUCCGUGUAGUGAACGCGUUCCGCCAGGGCCUGGACUCGCGCUACGGCGAGCACAGCAACACGAAUCUCGCCGAGGUGCUGAGGAAGC
rnacentral:misc_RNA from 1 species